rnacentral:lncRNA from 1 species
CCCUUAAUAAAAUUUAACGUCGAUGAUCGAAGGGUGAACUACACACAGCACGAAGUGGCUGAUGGUGAAAGUGACUAAAUAGAGUAAUGAGGCUGGCCUCUCUGCCAAGUGCGUGCAUCUACCGGCACAUGUGGAAAUCCAAGAGAAUCACACAUAUGUACAUCGUCGCUCGAAGAACUGUAUUUGAUGUGGUAGAGCCUGUCAUUAGAUGACAAUGACCGCUUUCAAGAUUACUGCAAGGACUUGGCCGACUUAUUGGCCGGAAAGUUGGGCAUCAAUUAUGGCUUCCAGAGUAAUAUACCGCUCAUACAGGUUAAGCAAAUGAACAACUACAAGAAUAGCAUUGCGUUCAAACCGAUGAGCGAACGCGGAAAAUACAGUGACCGAUAGUGGAUGCAUUAAAAAAAUUACUGGGGACUUGGGCCGAAUGGUGUAUGGAAACCUAACUUUAUGUUGCUCUAUAAUGUCAUCAGUACAGCUGUACGCGAUACCUUGGAAGAACGUGGAAAGAGUUUAAUUGCUGUCAUUGACCCGACAACAAAUAGUCAAAAGCCGGCAUUGUGUCCCCUCAUUGGUUGGCGAUUAACGCUUGCAUCAUUGCAUUCGCUUACUUUGUCAUUUAUAAUUUGAUUUUAGCGUUACGUUGCACAAUAAAGUAACAGCAUAUAAAGGAAGGAGAAGCGGCACCAGUGUGGCUGCUAACCCGAACACUGCAAUACCAGCAUUGAUCCCUCUCAGAGGAAGACAUUGGGAAAAUAUGUUUGAAAUUUACAACGAUUUUUGCAAUAAAUGACGCCCAUGUGUGAAUUUACGUUUCAAUGUAAUAAAAAAUUCAGUAUCAGUAAACACAAAAACCA